rnacentral:rRNA from 1 species
AGUCGAGUCGGCCUGCGCGGAAGAUGUAACGGGGCUCAAACCAUGCACCGAAGCUACGGGUAUCAUCUUAUGAUGAUGCGGUAGAGGAGCGUUCUGUAAGCCUGUGAAGGUGAGUUGAGAAGCUUGACUCAAACCAUGCACCGAAGCUACGGGUAUCAUCUUAUGAUGAUGCGGUAGAGGAGCGUUCUGUAAGCCUGUGAAGGUGAGUUGAGAAGCUUGCUGGAGGUAUCAGAAGUGCGAAUGCUGACAUGAGUAACGACAAUGGGUGUGAAAAACCCCCACGCCGAAAGACCAAGGUUUCCUGCGCAACGUUAAUCGACGCAGGGUUAGUCGGUCCCUAAGGCGAGGCUGAAAAGCGUAGUCGAUGGAAAACAGG